rnacentral:rRNA from 1 species
CAGCCGUAAACGAAUGCGCGUUAGGUGUAUCGACGACCACGAGUCGUCGAGGUGCCGAAGGGAAACCGUGAAACGUGCCGCCUGGGAAGUACGGUCGCAAGGCUGAAACUUAAAGGAAUUGGCGGGGGAGCACCACAACAGGUGGAGCCUGCGGUUUAAUUGGACUCAACGCCGGGAAGCUCACCGGAUAAGACAGCGGAAUGAUUGCCGGGCUGAAGACUCUGCAUGACUAGCUGAGAGGAGGUGCAUGGCGUAGACGUCU